rnacentral:rRNA from 1 species
CCAGUGGCGGGUGCUAAUACAUGCAGUCGAGCGGACAGAAGGGAGCUUGCUCCCGGAUGUUAGCGGCGGACGGGUGAGUAACACGUGGGUAACCUGCCUGUAAGACUGGGAUAACUCCGGGAAACCGGAGCUAAUACCGGAUAGUUCCUUGAACCGCAUGGUUCAAGGAUGAAAGACGGUUUCGGCUGUCACUUACAGAUGGACCCGCGGCGCAUUAGCUAGUUGGUGAGGUAACGGCUCACCAAGGCGACGAUGCGUAGCCGACCUGAGAGGGUGAUCGGCCACACUGGGACUGAGACACGGCCCAGACUCCUACGGGAGGCAGCAGUAGGGAAUCUUCCGCAAUGGACGAAAGUCUGACGGAGCAACGCCGCGUGAGUGAUGAAGGUUUUCGGAUCGUAAAGCUCUGUUGUUAGGGAAGAACAAGUGCAAGAGUAACUGCUUGCACCUUGACGGUACCUAACCAGAAAGCCACGGCUAACUACGUGCCAGCAGCCGCGGUAAUACGUAGGUGGCAAGCGUUGUCCGGAAUUAUUGGGCGUAAAGGGCUCGCAGGCGGUUUCUUAAGUCUGAUGUGAAAGCCCCCGGCUCAACCGGGGAGGGUCAUUGGAAACUGGGAAACUUGAGUGCAGAAGAGGAGAGUGGAAUUCCACGUGUAGCGGUGAAAUGCGUAGAGAUGUGGAGGAACACCAGUGGCGAAGGCGACUCUCUGGUCUGUAACUGACGCUGAGGAGCGAAAGCGUGGGGAGCGAACAGGAUUAGAUACCCUGGUAGUCCACGCCGUAAACGAUGAGUGCUAAGUGUUACGGGGUUUCCGCCCCUUAGUGCUGCAGCUAACGCAUUAAGCACUCCGCCUGGGGAGUACGGUCGCAAGACUGAAACUCAAGGAAUUGACGGGGGGCCCGCACAGCGGUGGAGCAUGUGGUUUAAUUCGAAGCAACGCGAGAACCUUACCAGGUCUUGACAUCCUCUGACAACCCUAGAGAUAGGGCUUUCCCUUCCGGGGACAGAAUGACAGUGGUGCAUGGAUGUCGUUCAGCUCGUGUCGUGAAAUGGUUGGGUAGUCCCGCAACGAACGCCAACCAUGAUCUUAAGUUGCCAGCCAUUCAGUUG